rnacentral:rRNA from 1 species
UACGUAGGGUGCGAGCGUUAAUCGGAAUUACUGGGCGUAAAGCGUGCGCAGGCGGUUCGUUGUGUCUGAUGUGAAAGCCCCGGGCUUAACCUGGGAAUGGCAUUGGAAACUGGCGAGCUGGAGUGUGGCAGAGGGGGGUGGAAUUCCGCGUGUAGCAGUGAAAUGCGUAGAGAUGCGGAGGAACACCGAUGGCGAAGGCAGCCCCCUGGGCCAACACUGACGCUCAGGCGCGAAAGCGUGGGGAGCGAACAGG